GUCACUGUCAUUAAAAAAAAAAAAAAAAUUGGCAGAAAGUCUAGAGAUGAUUCACGCUGAGAAUUCUGACUGGUUGAUAGCAUAUUCAUUCACAGUCUAAUAAAUCAUUCGCCAGGGAGGGACAGGGCAGGACGGAGAGACUCCAGAGAGGGAAAGCAGAGCGGGAUCCCUGGGGGGAAUAAGCAUUCCUGGCGGCCCUGCCGCUACCUGGCGGCUACAGCUUUUUCCUGAGAGAGGAUGUACUUGGGGGUGUGUGACGGAGUUUGGCUGGCUGAAAUGUUCCAUCACUGCCCUCCCCACCCUCCUCCUUCGAAGCACUGACCUUUGCCAAGAAGGCGGCAUUCCUGAUGGCACCCACCAUUUCUCCCCCCUUGGGGUGCACCUUGGCCACGUGCAUCCACAUGCGCUCCCAGGACGCGCAGAAGAGGAGCGGCUGCUGGAGCUCCGCUUAUGGGCCGGACCUGAAAUCAGUGGAGACACAGCACGCAUCACAGAAAGAGAAGAGCAGGGUGCAGUGAGAAGAGCAUCAGACUACUGACCUGGGGACUGACUCUGAGCCCAGAUUUGUCACUUGGCUAAGCUGUGUGACCCAGGAGAAGCCAUAUGCCUGUUCUGUUCUUGAGAAGAGAACAGACCCCUUGCUCUCCAAGGUCUGUCCUGACCCUGUGGCUCUGUGAUUCUCUGACUUUCUCUCUUGUGGACACUUAGGGACUUGGCCAUUAUAUCUUUUCUCUUUCAACUCCAAGCCAGCACACCAGCUCUGAGAGGGUGAAGCAGUUCUGGUAGCAAUGCCGUUAACCUGGAAUCAAGAAUGCAGUCGUCAAAGAGCCACUUAUGGCAGAUCAGUGUCUGGACACUUAACCCUACAAGUUACUUGUGACAGAAUUGGAGGGUGUGGCAAGGGGCCAGGGCCAGGAGAGACCCUUGGAGUGCAGCCGAGAGCCAGGACUUGGCUGAGAAGACCUGAUUCCAGACCAGUCCUCCACUAUUGCAGAGCCCAUGUUUAGGGCUUAACUGAUUCAAUAAUGAGAAUAAUAAUUUAGGUCCGUAUAGACAAAAGAAAUGGGCCAGUUCAGGAAAUUAUUGAAUAAUUCAAGUAGAACAGUACACCUGAAAAAAUCAGGAAAUAGAAAAUUAUCCUCUUACCAUACAAUUGCUUCAAUUUUCAUUUCCCGAUUAAAAGAAAACAUGCCUCAGUGAAUGAUCUGUUUUCUCAAACACCCCUCCUCCCUCCUUUCCUCAUCUCUCAAAUCUGCCCCUUUCUCCUUGCUUGCUGCGAGUUUCAAGUCCUGAGA